rfam:TPA: Bos taurus chromosome 1, whole genome shotgun sequence.
UCCCUGGUGGCUCAGACGGUAGAGAGUCUGCCUGCAAUGCAGGAGACCCAGAUUCCAUCCCUGGAUUGGGAA